AUUGAACGCUGGCGGCAGGCCUAACACAUGCAAGUCGAGCGGAUGAGUGGAGCUUGCUCCAUGAUUCAGCGGCGGACGGGUGAGUAAUGCCUAGGAAUCUGCCUGGUAGUGGGGGAUAACGUUCGGAAACGGACGCUAAUACCGCAUACGUCCUACGGGAGAAAGCAGGGGACCUUCGGGCCUUGCGCUAAUAGAUGAGCCUAGGUCGGAUUAGCUAGUUGGUGAGGUAAUGGCUCACCAAGGCGACGAUCCGUAACUGGUCUGAGAGGAUGAUCAGUCACACUGGAACUGAGACACGGUCCAGACUCCUACGGGAGGCAGCAG
rnacentral:rRNA from 1 species